rnacentral:rRNA from 1 species
CGGCGGACGGGUGAGUAACGCGUGGGUAACCUGCCUCAUACAGGGGAGUAACAGUUAGAAAUGACUGCUAAUACCGCAUAAGACCACGGUACCGCAUGGUACAGUGGUAAAAACUCCGGUGGUAUGAGAUGGACCCGCGUCUGAUUAGGUAGUUGGUGGGGUAACGGCCUACCGAGCCGACGAUCAGUAGCCGACCUGAGAGGGUGACCGGCCACAUUGGGACUGAGACACGGCCCAG